rfam:TPA: Bos taurus chromosome 2, whole genome shotgun sequence.
UCCCUAGUGGCUCAGAUGGUAAAGCAUCCACUUACAAUGCGGGAGACCUGGGUUCAAUCCCUGGGUUGGGAA